rfam:Triticum aestivum genome assembly, contig: Triticum_aestivum_CS42_TGACv1_scaffold_578101_7BL
UCACUACUCCCUCCAUCUCAAAAUUCUUGUCUCAGAGUUGUCUAAAUACGAAUGUAUCAAGUCAUGUUUUAGUAUUAGAUACAUUCCUACCUAGACAAAUUUAAGACAAGAAUUAUAAGACGGAGCGAGUAUUUA